rnacentral:lncRNA from 1 species
GGGUCUUCUGACAAUUCCAAUCUCCGGCAAGGUGGGUUGCUACCACCCUUAAAAUGAAGAUUACUGGUCCCUCAAAAUGUUUUAACGAUCCUCUGGGGUAUUGGCAACUGACUUCGCACAGUCUUCAUAUUAAAUCCUUUGGUGAUGCUCUCCCGUUAUGUUCAGAACGUUUCCAUCAAAAUUGAGGGUUCUUCUGUGGAUA